ACCAUGCAGUGUGCGCUCAUGUUGGUUUUCGUCCUGACCCUGCUCCAAGGUGUCCAGGGUGAUGUCCAGCUGGUAGAGUCCGGGGGAGAUGUGAGACAGCCUGGGGGGUCUCUGCACCUCUCCUGUAAAGCCUCUGGAUUCUCCUUCAGUAGCAACUACUGGAUGAGCUGGGUCCGCCAGGCUCCAGGAAAGGGGCUGGAGUGGAUCGCAGGUAUGUGGGUCAACAGUGAUGCUACAUACUAUGCAAACUCUGUGAAAGGCCGAUUCACCAUCUCCAAGGACAACGCCAACAGCCUGGUGAAUCUGCAGAUGAACAGCCUGAAAACCGAGGACACGGCCCUUUAUUACUGUACAAGAGACACAGUAAGAGAAACCACUUCCUGAGCCUGUCAGAAACCCAGGGAGGAUUCCUGGGCUGCAGGUGGCUGGGGAGAGAGCAGCAAAGA